rnacentral:lncRNA from 1 species
CUCAAAAUCCAUGGAGAAAUGAUUCUGCACUUGUGUUAUUGAGCUCAAAAGGUCACCAAUAGAAAGAGAACUAACAGAUCUCGUGAGUCGAAUCCAAAAUCGAAGCUCUUGACUCUGAUUACUAUAUCAAACUGAUCAAUGGAACAUUAAUUGAUGCACUACUGCUGUCUCAAGCUAAGCUUCAAUGGUGGUGAGGCUGUGGCUACUACACCAUGCGAACUCUGAGAAGGAGAAAGAAGGAAGUGAGAAGACGAGAGAAGAUAUCAGAAUCGUAC